GAUGAACGCUGGCGGCGUGCCUAAUACAUGCAAGUCGAGCGAAUGGAUUAAGAGCUUGCUCUUAUGAAGUUAGCGGCGGACGGGUGAGUAACACGUGGGUAACCUGCCCAUAAGACUGGGAUAACUCCGGGAAACCGGGGCUAAUACCGGAUAACAUUUUGAACCGCAUGGUUCGAAAUUGAAAGGCGGCUUCGGCUGUCACUUAUGGAUGGACCCGCGUCGCAUCAGCUAGUUGGUGAGGUAACGGCUCACCAAGGCAACGAUGCGUAGCCGACCUGAGAGGGUGAUCGGCCACACUGGGACUGAGACACGGCCCAGACUCCUACGGGAGGCAGCAGUAGGGAAUCUUCCGCAAUAGCCGAAAGUCUGACGGAGCAACGCCGCGUGAGUGAUGAAGGCUUUCGGGUCGUAAAACUCUGUUGUUAGGGAAGAACAAGUGCUAGUUGAAUAAGCUGGCACCUUGACGGUACCUAACCAGAAAGCCACGGCUAACUACGUGCCAGCCGCCGCCGUAA
rnacentral:rRNA from 1 species